rnacentral:rRNA from 1 species
AGACGAACCGUGCGAACGUUGUUCGGAAUCACUGGGCUUAAAGGGCGCGUAGGCGGGUUCCCAAGUCGGGGGUGAAAUCUUUCGGCCCAACCGGAAAAGGGCCUCCGAUACUGGGAACCUCGAGGGGGGUAGGGGUCGGCGGAACUUCCGGUGGAGCGGUGAAAUGCGUAGAUAUCGGAAGGAACGCCGGUGGCGAAAGCGGCCGACUGGACCUCACCUGACGCUGAGGCGCGAAAGCCAGGGGAGCGAACGGG